ACGAACGCUGGCGGCGUGCUUAACACAUGCAAGUCGAGCGGUAAGGCCCUUUCGGGGGUACACGAGCGGCGAACGGGUGAGUAACACGUGGGUGACCUGCCCUCAGCUCUGGGAUAAGCCUGGGAAACCGGGUCUAAUACCGGAUAUGACUCCAUGACGCAUGUUGUGGGGUGGAAAGCCUUGUGCGGCUGAGGAUGGGCCCGCGGCCUAUCAGCUUGUUGGUGGGGUGAGGCCUACCAAGGCGACGACGGGUAGCCGGCCUGAGAGGGCGACCGGCCACACUGGGACUGAGACACGGCCCAGACUCCUACGGGAGGCAGCAGUGGGGAAUCUUGCGCAAUGGGCGAAAGCCUGACGCAGCGACGCCGCGUGAGGGAUGACGGCCUGG
rnacentral:rRNA from 1 species